UCCACGCAGCUGACACACAACAGAAACGCCAGGCUCACACCACGCAGGCAGUGUGUAACCGGCCUUAGCCAUCUUGCCAUCAAGAGCCAGGCAGCCUUUUUGACUCACUGUCUAGACAACAUCCAGGUACAGAAGGUUUUCCUGGAGCAGCGAGGACAGCUGUUAAGGCAGAGGCCUGUUUACGGAGGAAGAGGAACAACAAUCAGAUUAGAGACCAUCACAUGCCGACCGUUUCUAAGGCAACAGACAGGCCAAUGUUUCAUCCACAGAGAAAGCAACUGCAACAGUGUUAAUAUUGGCAUACAGGGGGCUGUAAUGUGAAGUAAGAAAUACAGCAGGAACAGUUGGUUAAAUCUACGUUAGAUUAAAUCCUUCAACCGGCCGCCAAACGAACUGACUUCACAUCAGAGCAGCUGCCGGUGAAUGAAUUGUCGAAGUUAGAAGACGGAGUUAUGAGAAGAUUCCACUUCAGUUCUCAUUCAGUUUGGAAAUGUGUACAUUACCUGGUGGUAAUGGAUGGGGAGACCUUUUGUGAAAACAACACAACAAAACUCCCUGAAUCCUUUCAGAGGUCUUCAUGUGGGACAUUUUAUGUCACUUACAAUGAUCUGGCAACAGUAAAAGCAAUGCUGCUUAGUAAAAGUAGCAUUGUAUAAAAGUAAAGAGUUAAAAUGUACUCAGAGUAAAAUGAACCGCACCACAAAGACCAGAAAUACAUUCCUUUUCUAUAGAGUGAGUUUUUGUACAGUGAACGUACACAUGUAGAACAUCUGCGAAGAGUGUCAACUGAUGGCACACACCAGCAGCUUCUUCUCAGUUUAUCACGACUUUUUUUUUUUUAACUCUGUAACAGAUGUGACUUGAAAUGUAGUACAAAAAAAAAAAAAACCUUGUCACAAUAACGAGAGUAAAUGUAAUGUACUACUUUCAACUCGCUAAGGACUAAGCACACACCCUGAACACAAAGAAAAGGAAACUAAUCAGUGAAGUCACUGCUGGGUGUCUCAGUAGAAUAAAAACCUGCAGACUCUAGGCACUCUUUGAUAUUAUUCAUACGGUCAUUGGGUUUAUAAAUUAGUGAAUUUGGAAAAAAAGUCACUAAAUAAAUCUAUAUCUAAAUCAAAACAUUAUUCUCUCAGAACUCGUUUCCUGGCCUGGUUGUUAUAUAUUUAGUCAAUAUUUGUGCAAAAAUCACAUUUCCAGUUAGGUUGCUGGGGAGUUUAUGACCUAACUGCAAGUGAACACUGUUUUAGUUCCUUACUGGCUAAACAAUGGCUGGUCUAAAUUAUAUUAAGGAUGGUUUGUCAUGGUACAUACGUAUACGGGGUGCGUUGCUAGUGAAACAUAAUUGCCUUGGAUGUUCCUUGUAUGUUUAUGUGCUUAUUGUAUUUUCAAAUGUUUAAUGUUUGUUUUUAUGACUGUUUAAAAAACGCCCUUCUAGGGACGGGAAAUUGCAAACAAGCAAUCGCAAUAAAUGCUGUGAUGGUGUACACUGGACAUUUGUUGCACAAAUGUCUAUGCCGUAGCAUCUGUCCCCAUUCAAAUAAAGAUGAAAUGAAAUUAA